rnacentral:tRNA from 1 species
CGGGGUGUGGCGCAGCGGCAGCGCGCAUGGUUUGGGACCAUGAGGCCGGCGGUUCAAAUCCGCCCACCCCGA